GACGAACGCUGGCGGCGUGCUUAACACAUGCAAGUCGAACGGUGAAGGGGUCUGCUUUUGUGGGCCCUGGAUGAGUGGCGAACGGGUGAGUAACACGUGAGUAACCUGCCCCCUUCUUCUGGAUAACCGCAUGAAAGUGUGGCUAAUACGGGAUAUUCUGGGUCUGCCGCAUGAUGGGUCUGGGAAAGAUUGCGCCUUUGGGUGUUUUUGGUGGGGGAUGGGCUCGCGGCCUAUCAGCUUGUUGGUGGGGUGAUGGCCUACCAAGGCGGUGACGGGUAGCCGGCCUGAGAGGGUGGACGGUCACACUGGGACUGAGACACGGCCCAGACUCCUACGGGAGGCAGCAGUGGGGAAUAUUGCACAAUGGGCGCAAGCCUGAUGCAGCGACGCCGCGUGAGGGAUGGAGGCCUUCGGGUUGUAAACCUCUUUCGCCAGUGAAGCAGGCCUGCUCCUUGUGGGUGGGUUGACGGUAGCUGGAGAAGAAGCGCCGGCUAACUACGUG
rnacentral:rRNA from 1 species